GUCCGCACCGUAAACGAUGAUUACUCGUUGUUGGCGAUAUGACAGUCAGCGACCAAGCGAAAGCGAUAAGUAAUCCACCUGGGGAGUACGCCGGCAACGGUGAAACUCAAAGGAAUUGACGGGGGCCCGCACAAGCGGAGGAGCAUGUGGUUUAAUUCGAUGAUACGCGAGGAACCUUACCUGGGCUUGAAAGUUAGUGACCGAUUCUGAAAAGGAGCCUUUCCGCAAGGACACGAAACUAGGUGCUGCAUGGCUGUCGU
rnacentral:rRNA from 1 species